AUUGAACGCUGGCGGCAGGCCUAACACAUGCAAGUCGAGCGGAUGAAGGGAGCUUGCUCCUGGAUUCAGCGGCGGACGGGUGAGUAAUGCCUAGGAAUCUGCCUGGUAGUGGGGGAUAACGUCCGGAAACGGGCGCUAAUACCGCAUACGUCCUGAGGGGGAAAGUGGGGGAUCUUCGGACCUCACGCUAUCAGAUGAGCCUAGGUCGGAUUAGCUAGUUGGUGGGGUAAAGGCCUACCAAGGCGACAAUCCGUAACUGGUCUGAGAGGAUGAUCAGUCACACUGGAACUGGGACACGGUCCAGACUCCUAAGGGAGGCAGCAGUGGGGAAUAUUGGACAAUGGGCGAAAGCCUGAUCCAGCCAUGCCGCGUGUGUGAAGAAGGUCUUCGGAUUGUAAAGCACUUUAAGUUGGGAGGAAGGGCAGUAAGUUAAUACCUUGCUGUUUUGACGUUACCAACAGAAUAAGCACCGGCUAACUUCGUG
rnacentral:rRNA from 1 species